GUUCCCCGGCUUUGCCGCGCGGAGGAAGUCCCGGUUACGCAGAGCGCGCUGGGGCAGGGCUGACCUUCCCCUUUCUCUACUUCACUGGCCUCCUCCAGACGUGGUGGUUGCGCCCUUUCGGCCUCGCUUUCCGUUUUUUGGCUUCAUCCCCUAGAUCUGCAAACAGUUCCUCGUGUUUCUUCCGUUAGCCGGGAAACGCGAACUGCAGCGUUUGGGACCCGGGUUUGCGCGUGUGGAAAGCAAAAGGGGUUACUCUGCUGGAGUUCGACAUUGCAAAUAAAGGUCUUUAUCCCCGGCGGUUCUACAAAAUUAGUUCUGCAGGGAUUCUGGUUGAAAGAAGCGUUAAAGUGGGCCUUGUAGGAGUCAGCAAUAAUCCAAUUUUACAUGGGUGCAGGUGGCUGCCUGUGUCUAGCGCUUUCACACAUCUCAUAUCUUCAUCCACGCCGUGGGUAUUUUUUUUCCACGGUGUGUUUCUGUUGCUGCCUCCAGUAUAUUGCUUAAUCAUCCUACCUGGUAAUUAUUUAUGCAUUUUUCUCCUACUCUCGACUCAGCUCCUAGGGAAUAAAAACACAUUAACUUAUCUUUGUGCCCACAGCACCCACCAAGUAUUUCCAUCACGUAAUACUGCCUCUAGAAAGGCAGGAGGAGAAGCAGUCACGCUAAGGAUCUAGGCAAGCCAGAUCUUUUGUCCGGUUUUAGGAGGUGGCCAGCCCUUACUUAUUCCACAAGUGUUUUUCCAGAAACUCAGACUUGAUAUUGCCUCAAGUCCAAGGCAGUGUGCUUCCCCCACUCACAUAUCACUAAUAGUAGCUAACAUUUGUUCAGAUCCCUGUAUGUACUCUGCCACUGUUUUAAAUGUUACACCCGGGUUACCUCAUUUAAUCCUUACAACUGCCCUGUGAGGUAGGUACUAUUAUUAUCUCUACUUUGUAGAUGGGAUUCACCGAGGCACAGACGGUUAAAAAACCUAGCCCAAAUAACACAAAUAAACAGCAGAGCAUGCAGUGCUAGAGUCUGCAUUCUUAACAAUUGCUAUAUUCUCCCUCUCCGUGAAUGUGGGCUGAGAUGCUGAAACAGGCAUGUGCUGUGGGGGAGAAAAAGCUUUGUCCAACCAAGUGCUUUCUAAUGUCCAGAUGACAUAGAGCUAGGAUUUCCUAAUGUCUUUUUUCCCCUAUUUUUCUCUCCAUUUCAGGGUUGAGUUUGUGCAUCGAUUGUGAACACAACAGGCAGCAGGCUAUAAUGGUGGUCCUGGCUGGAGUAGUUUUCACAGACUUCAGUAAUCUGUGGAGAUGAACGGGCAGUUCUCUGUAGUUUUCACAGAUCACUGCCAGUUCGUUUUGAGGCCUUCAGGAGUGAAGACCUGGCUCAUCAUCACUCUUUGUUGUUUUGUUAAAUUUAUUUACACCCUACUUUAUUCCAGAGGAAAGGAUUUAACGUAGUUUACAUAAAUGUGUACAUCAGGGUAAAUUAAAAAUAAGUACAGAGAAAAAUAGGACAAAAGAAAACCGUGAGUGUGAAAGAUAAGAUUAAGCCAGCAGUUUUGUAUGCAAAAUGCAUGGUGUAAGGUCCUAUUGGUUUGCUGGAGGUAGGCCACACAUAUGACUCUCAGUUUUCUAGCAACCAAGAAAAAGAUCAGUUGCAAUCGGAGUAGGUGUUUUGGCUAAGCUGGAACUAGGACUUGAAUAUAGCAGCUUGUAGAGUUAUACCACUUGCCCAAAUCUCUUCCAUGAGCCUCUUUAAGUGUAACAGAAUGCCUGGGAGCACGUAAAUGCUCCUACUUAGAUGCCUACUUAGCCUCUAAUUUUCAUGGGGCCCAUGAAUCCCAUGAAAAAGAACUUUGAACCCUGUCCACAAUUAGAGUUCAGGUAUACGCAGACAUGUUUAAAGACAAGGGACACCCAAAGGAAAGAUUGCACAGAGAGAAAGUGAGCAUCCGAGAGAAAAUCACCACAAGUGAGGCAGAGGGAGGCCGGUCUCAGCAGAGUUUUGGAGGUCGUGAGAAGAAGAGGUAGGAGAUAGGAGAGUGGUUCCGAGUACUUGCCUGCUGAUGUUACCUUCUCCACCCCCACCAGGUUUUCCAGUGCCUGGAGUCUUGGGCAGGAAUGGGCCACUGUAAGAAAGAGCUUUAUCACUAGGGCCUCAGCCAACUUUUCUGUGGGAUAUCCCUCCAAAAUAAUUAAGAGUUCAGAAUGCUUCAGAUUUUGAAGUGAAACUGGUACAUAUAUUAAGUGUUACUUAAUAACCCGAUAGUUUCUAGGGCAGCUCACCAUAAUCCCAAGUAUUAGCCACCACCCUCACCCCCUUCAGAGUAAAAUGUGUUUCCUGAAGGAAGUUGGGAAAAUGAAGAAAAAAAAUACAAAAAUCACCUAUAAUCUUACCAGUCAUAGAUGGCAGUUUUCCUGUCUUAUUUCUGAAUAAUGGUUGUUAAACAUUUGCCAGCACACCAUAAGGCUUAGGGAGGCAUCUGGGUCAUGCAUGUUAAUAUCCUUGGGUAAUUCCAGAAAUCUCUAUGAAGGGAAACUCCUGUUAUUUAUCUAGACUUCCUGAUUGCAAGGGGUUUGGGCAUCAUGAUUUAGGGGUCUUAAUAAAAUUAUUAUUUUAUUUUUACUAAUAGAUAAUGUCUGUGCCUAUCAGAUAAAGGCAAACCAGUGCUCAGAGGAACCCAACCAUCUCUGAAUUGAGACCAGAGAGCUGUCUCUAUGGAUAGUCCUUAGAGAAGGCAUUUCGGAACACAGUAAACAGCAGCCUGGUGACUCCGAUUACAGGGCCAGUUGCCUUUGUUACAAUAAAAGCAAGUCAUCUACACAGACAAACUGCGGCCUGGACCAGCUGGUGAAACAUAAUUCUGAAUCCUGCCCACAGCCUUCGGUGGUUUUGGAUGAAAGGCCAGCGCCUUGGGAGCCCUGCGUUUGAUUUCAAGUUUUAAGGCCGGCACUGGUGGAGCAAUGAAUGGUGAAAGCUCUCCCCUUAAAGGAGCACAGUUGCCUUUAGGUGACUGCUAACUCAGGCUUUUGCUGAGGACAGUGUUUACUUUGUGAGCUUAAUGACAGGGCUGGCUUUCUGGGAGUGUUGCAAUGAAACAGACUCAGACACAGGCCAUCAUGGGCCUCCUCCCUAGCAAGGCCGCCACGGCUGGCAUCUCAAGAGCAGUCCGUUGAACUUGGGAUUUGGGUGUGAGACACAGUUUCAUCAGAAGAAUUUAAACCAAAGUCUACAUUUGCCCUCUAGAUAAAUGUGUGUGUUCAGCAGCAACCACAA
rnacentral:lncRNA from 1 species